AGGACUCAUAUUGUAACUCAUUUAUUUUCCCAGAAUUCAAAAAUAUAUUCUUCCAAGAAAAACAAAGCCCUGUCUAUACUCGAUGCAGAUCUCAAAUUAACAGCCCAUUAUUAUGGAAGUUCUUUAUUGAUCGCCAAAAUGGGUUAGGUAUACCUGUUAACAAGAACCUGAGACCUGCCGAACAGCAGGUGCCAAAGAUGCUGCUGUAACACCACAGCCCUCCCAUCUUCCAUCCUCCACUGGCGCUGAGUGGCAGUCCCAUGUGACAGGAAGUGGAGGCAGAGCUGGGCCAGCCCAGGAGCCACGUGCUGGAGCCAGAUACUCUGUUUUUCUACAAAUGGAAAGUUUGUGGCAUCCUUGACUCAAGCAAAUUUUUCAGCACCAUUUUUCAAGAGCGUGUGCUCACUUCACCUCUCUGUAUCGUGUUUUGAUGCUUGUCCUGGAAACCAACCAUGAGCUGUGAUGAAAUCCAGGCAACUGAGUUGUGUUUCAGCCCAAAGCAGCAAAUGGAAUCCAGCUUCAGGACCAUCAUCUGACAUAGGGGAAGAAGACUUACAUAGAAGGCCUAACCAGCACCCAAGAUCAUGCUCAUAGGUGGAGGAGACUUGCUUUGUCUCAGAUGAGACUUUGGACUGUGGACUUUUGAGUUAAUGCUGAAAUGAGUUGAGACUUUGGGGAACUGUUGGGAAGGCAUGAUUGGUUUUAAAUAUGAAUAUAUGAGAUUUGGGAGGGGGUCAGGGGUGGAAUGAUAUGGUUUGGCUCUGUGUCCCCACCCAAAUCUCAUCUUGUAGCUCCCAUAAUCCUCCCAUGUUGUGGGAGGGACCCAGUGGGAGAUGAUUGAAUCAUGAGGGCGGGUCUUUCUCAUGCUGUUCAUGAUCCCAUUCAUGUGAGAAAGACCCAUGUGAUCAUGAAUGGGUCUCACAAGAUCUGAUGGUGUUAAAAAUGGGAGUUUCUCUGCACAAGCUCUCUGCCUGCUGCCAUUCACAAAGGAUGUGACUUGCUUCUCCUUGCCUUCUGCUAUGAUUGUGAGGCCUCCCUAGCCAUGUGGAACUGUGAGUCCAAUUAAACCUCUUUCUUUUGUAAAUU
rnacentral:lncRNA from 10 species